AUGGUCAGUGAGAAGAGUAAAUUUCCAUCUGAACAGUGCCACGCUAGGGCCUGUGCUGCACGGAGCGGGGCAGGGCUCAGUGGGGCUGUGUCUCAUGGCCUCGCUCUCUCCCCCUUUUCAGUUAGUCCCACGGCCCCGUCUGUCUUCCCCUUGACCCCCUGCACCUGCGAAGACAGAGGCUCCCUGGUCACCUUCGGCUGCCUGGCCAAAGGCUACUUCCCCGAGCCAGUCACCGUGACAUGGAGCCCCAACAUCGGCUCCUCGAGCGUGAGGACCUAUCCCUCCGUGCAGCAACCUUCCAGCAGCCUCUACUCGCUCAGCAGCCAGGCCACCGUCCCGUUCAUCAGCUGGAAAUCUAACACCUAUAGCUGCACCGUAGAGCACCAGCCCACCAACUCCAGCAUCAAGAAGGAAGUCCCAGAGCCCCCCGUCCCUCAACCCACUGCCCCCGAGGUGGAAGUCUUGUACUCCUGCACCACAGACCCGGGCACCAUCCAGCUGGCGUGCUUGAUCUCCGGCUUCUACCCCCAGCCGCUGACAGUGGAAUGGCUGGUGGACGGCGAGCCUGGGCUACUUCAUAGCGAGCUCUACCCUCUCAGGAAGGACGCCAUCAGCCGCACCUACAGCACCCGCAGCAACGCCAGUGUCCCCCGGAGCCAGUGGCUGGCGGGCAAGACGUACACUUGCCAGGUGUACCACCCGGGCACUGCCACCACAAAGCAGGCC